AGGCAAAUCCGCACACCGUAAGGCUGGGCUGUGAUGGGGAGGGAAAAUUUACAGUACCGAAGGUCAUGAUCUCACACUGCCGAGAAAAGCCUCUAGCCAGGAGAAGGUGCCCGUACCGCAAACCGACACAGGUAGGCGAGAAGAGAAUUCUAAGGCGCGCGGAAGAACUCUCGUUAAGGAACUCGGCAAAAUGACCCCGUAACUUCGGGAGAAGGGGUGCCCCGGUAGGGUUUAUAGCCCGAGGGGGCCGCAGUGAAAAGGCCCAAGCGACUGUUUAGCAAAAACACAGGUCUGUGCGAAGCCGCAAGGCGAAGUAUACGGGCUGACGCCUGCCCGGUGCUGGAAGGUUAAGGGGAGCGGUUAGGAGUAAUCCGAAGCUGUGAACCGAAGCCCCAGUAAACGGCGGCCGUAACUAUAACGGUCCUAAGGUAGCGAAAUUCCUUGUCAGGUAAAUUCUGACCCGCACGAAUGGCGUAACGACUUGGGCGCUGUCUCAACGAGAGAUCCGGUGAAAUUUUAAUACCUGUGAAGAUGCAGGUUACCCGCGACAAGACGGAAAGACCCCAUGGAGCUUUACUGCAGCUUGAUAUUGGACUUUGAUACGAUUUGUACAGGAUAGGUGGGAGCCUAGGAAGUGGGAGCGCAAGCUUCCAUGGAGGCGCCGUUGGGAUACCACCCUGAUCGUAUCGGAGUUCUAACCCGGUACCGUGAUCCGGUACGGGGACCGUGUCAGGCGGGCAGUUUGACUGGGGCGGUCGCCUCCUAAAGAGUAACGGAGGCGCCCCAAGGUUCCCUCAGAAUGGUUGGAAAUCAUUCGCAGAGUGCAAAGGCAAAAGGGAGCUUGACUGCGAGACUGACAAGUCGAGCAGGGACGAAAGUCGGGCUUAGUGAUCCGGUGGUACCGCAUGGAAGGGCCAUCGCUCAACGGAUAAAAGCUACCCUGGGGAUAACAGGCUUAUCUCCCCCAAGAGUCCACAUCGACGGGGAGGUUUGGCACCUCGAUGUCGGCUCAUCGCAUCCUGGGGCUGAAGUAGGUCCCAAGGGUUGGGCUGUUCGCCCAUUAAAGCGGUACGCGAGCUGGGUUCAGAACGUCGUGAGACAGUUCGGUCCCUAUCUGUCGUGGGCGCAGGAAAUUUGAGAGGAGCUGUCCUUAGUACGAGAGGACCGGGAUGGACGCACCGCUGGUGUACCAGUUGUUCCGCCAGGAGCACAGCUGGGUAGCUAAGUGCGGACGGGAUAAGCGCUGAAAGCAUCUAAGCGUGAAGCCCCCCUCAAGAUGAGAUUUCCCAAUUAGUAAGACCCCUUGAAGACGACGAGGUUGAUAGGCCUGAGGUGGAAGUGCAGCAAUGCAUGGAGCUGACAGGUACUAAUCGGUCGAGGGCUUAUCCAAA
rnacentral:rRNA from 1 species